rnacentral:rRNA from 1 species
UACGAAGGGGGGCUAGCGUUGCUCGGAAUUACUGGGCGUAAAGCGCACGUAGGCGGCUCUUUAAGUCGGGGGUGAAAUCCUGGGAGCUCAACUCCAGAACUGCCUUCGAUACUGUAGAGCUUGAGUUCGGGAGAGGUGAGUGGAACUGCGAGUGUAGAGGUGAAAUUCGUAGAUAUUCGCAAGAACACCAGUGGCGAAGGCGGCUCACUGGCCCGAUACUGACGCUGAGGUGCGAAAGCGUGGGGAGCAAACAGG